GCUUCUUUGGCUCAGUCGGUUAGAGCGCAAGUCUCAUAUACCCUGGUGUUUGACGGCGUAUUGAUCUUGAGGUCGAAAGUUCGAAUCUUUCAAGUGGUA